rnacentral:rRNA from 1 species
CGUCAGAUGUGUAUAAGAGACAGCCUACGGGUGGCAGCAGUAGGGAAUCAUCCGCAAUGGGCGAAAGCCUGACGGUGCAACGCCGCGUGAGUGAGGAAGGUUUUCGGAUCGUAAAACUCUGUUGUUAGGGAAGAACAAGUACCGUUCGAAUAGGUCGGUACCUUGACGGUACCUAACCAGAAAGCCACGGCUAACUACGUGCCAGCAGCCGCGGUAAUACGUAGGUGGCAAGCGUUGUCCGGAAUUAUUGGGCGUAAAGCGCGCGCAGGCGGUCCUUUAAGUCUGAUGUGAAAGCCCACGGCUCAACCGUGGAGGGUCAUUGGAAACUGGAGGACUUGAAUACAGGAGAGGAAAGUGGAAUUCCAUGUGUAGCGGUGAAAUGCGUAGAGAUAUGGAGGAACACCAGUGGCGAAGGCGACUUUCUGGCCUGAUAUUGACGCUGAGGCGCGAAAGCGUGGGGAGCAAACAGGAUUAGAUACCCGGGUAGUCACUGA